UACUCGAGUGGCGAACGGGUGAGUAACACGUGGGUGAUCUGCCCUGCACUUCGGGAUAAGCUUGGGAAACUGGGUCUAAUACCGGAUAGGAACCAUCUUUAGUGUGGUGGUUGGAAAGUUUUUUCGGUGUAGGAUGAGCUCGCGGCCUAUCAGCUUGUUGGUGGGGUAAUGGCCUACCAAGGCGGCGACGGGUAGCCGGCCUGAGAGGGUGACCGGCCACAUUGGGACUGAGAUACGGCCCAG
rnacentral:rRNA from 1 species